rnacentral:rRNA from 1 species
GAUGAACGCUGGCGGCGUGCCUAACACAUGCAAGUCGAGCGAGAUUUUGAGGAGUAGAGACUUCGGUCAAAGCGAGUCAAAUGAAAGCGGCGGACGGGUGAGUAACGCGUGAGCAAUCUACCCCAUACAAAGGGAUACCCACUGGAAACGGUGAUUAAUACCUUAUAAGACCACAGAGUCGCAUGGCCCAGGGGUCAAAGAUUUAUCGGUAUGGGAUGAGCUCGCGUCUGAUUAGCUAGUUGGUAAGGUAAUGGCUUACCAAGGCGACGAUCAGUAGCCGACCUGAGAGGGUGAACGGCCACACUGGAACUGAGACACGGUCCAGACUCCUACGGGAGGCAGCAGUGGGGAAUAUUGCACAAUGGGCGCAAGCCUGAUGCAGCAACGCCGCGUGAAUGAUGAAGGCCUUCGGGUCGUAAAGUUCUGUCCAAAGGGAAGAAUACAGUGACGGUACCUUUGGAGGAAGCCCCGGCUAACUACGUGCCAGCCGCCGCGGUAA